rnacentral:rRNA from 1 species
UAGGGAAUCUUCCGCAAUGGACGCAAGUCUGACGGAGCAACGCCGCGUGAGUGAAGAAGGAUUUCGGUUCGUAAAACUCUGUUGUUAGAGAAGAACAGCGCAUAGAGUAACUGUUAUGCGUGUGACGGUAUCUAACCAGAAAGCCACGGCCAACUACGUGCCAGCAGCCGCGGUAAUACGUAGGUGGCAAGCGUUGUCCGGAUUUAUUGGGCGUAAAGCGAGCGCAGGCGGUCAAUUAAGUCUGAUGUGAAAGCCCCCGGCUCAACCGGGGAGGGUCAUUGGAAACUGGUUGACUUGAGUGCAGAAGAGGAGAGUGGAAUUCCAUGUGUAGCGGUGAAAUGCGUAGAUAUAUGGAGGAACACCAGUGGCGAAGGCGACUCUCUGGUCUGUAACUGACGCUGAGGCUCGAAAGCGUGGGUAGCAAACAGG